rnacentral:rRNA from 1 species
AGUGAACGCUGGCGGUGCGCCUAAAACAUGCAAGUCGAGUGGGUUUAGGCCCACGGCGGACGGCUGCGCAACACAUGGAUACCUGCCCCGAACUCAGGGAUAUCCCUCCGAAAGGAGGAGUAAUGCCGGAUGGUCCCGCAAGGGUAAAGGCUUUAGUCGGUUCGGGAGGGGUCUGUGCCCUAUCAGCUAGUUGGUAAGGUAACGGCUUACCAAGGCAAUGACGGGUAGCUGGUCUGAGAGGACGACCAGCCAGAAUGGAACUGAGACACGGUCCAUACUCCUACGGGAGGCAGCAGUUAGGAAUCUUCCACAAUGGGCGAAAGCCUGAUGGAGCGACACCGCGUGAAGGAUGAAGCCCUUUCUGGGUG